rnacentral:ncRNA from 1 species
AAGACAAAAGACUUAGUCCUAACCUUGCCGUUAUUUUUUGCCAGACAUACACAUGCAAGUAUCAGCACUCCAGUGUAAACGCCCUAAUUUCUUACUAAGACAAAAGGAGCAGGUAUCAGAAACAUCCAUUGCCGGAGCCCAAGACACUUUGCUUGGCCACACCCCACGGGCACUCAGCAGUAAUUCACAUUAAGCAAUAAGUGUAAACUUGACUUAGUCAUGGCAUCCAGGGUUGGUAAAUCCUGUGCCAGCCACCUUGGUCACACAAGAAACCCAAAUUACCAGCUUUCGUCUUAAAGAGUGGGGCCACAUUAUCGAAACAACCAAGAUUAAAGGGCAACUAAGCCGUUGUAAGCCCAAGAUGCUCCUAAACCCACCCUUAAAACAAUCUUGGCACCCCAGAUCAACUAAACCCCAUGAAAGCUAAGACACAAACUGGGAUUAAAUACUCCACUAUGCCUAGCCCUAAAUCUUGAUGCUUGCCUUACCAAAGCGUCCGCCCGAGAGCUAGAACACAAACGCUUAAAACUCUAAGGAUUUGGUGGUGCCCCAAACCCACCUAGAGGAGCCUGUUCUAUAAUCGAUAAUCCAUGAUAAACCUCACCACCCCUUGCCAACAACAGCCUACAUACCGCCGUUGCCAGUUCACCUCAUCAGAGUGCAACAGUGAAGGCAAUAGCUCAAAUACACUAAUAAGAUAGGUCAAAGUAUAGCUCAUGAGGUGGUAGAAGUGGGCUACAUUUUCUAAAAUAGAGCACUUACAAAAAGAGGUGUGAAACCACCUCUAAAAGGCGGAUUUAGUAGUAAAGUGGAAUAAUAGAGUCCCCUUUAAUCCGGCCCUGGAGCCCGUCACCCUCCUCACAAGCCAU